ACACAAGAGAGGAGGUGGUCCAAAGUUGUAUAGCUAUCGGACUCGUGAGGUGGCUGUCCGCUAGGACCAGCCCUCGGUGACGCCUAAGCGAAUACCAGGCAGCCACCCGGCCCCCGGACUUCGAGCACUGGUCCUGCUCGGCCCGCUCACGCGGGAGUCGUCCGGGGGUUGUCCCAU
rnacentral:sRNA from 1 species